ensembl:lncRNA
GACGGAGUGCUAGAGUCUACAGAAAUACAGCCUUUUGCCUUAGGAAGUCUGAGCUUGUGUUGGGUUUUUUUGGACCCAGUCAGGCUUAAACUCAUCAUCAGGAGUGGCUUUCCUGUUUGUUGCUUUCCUGGGCAAGUGACGUUGGAUUGUUGCAGUGAAUUUCUGCCUUAAGAUUGGCUUCAUCUCAAGAACAAGGGAAGAUGACCUCAAGAUGUUGCUGCUAAGGUGGAGUUAGAACCAGCAGAAGUCAACUUUGGAAUUCAGUUUUUGCUUAAAGAGUGAUUUCUUGAACCAAUCAGCGUAACAGGCACACAAAGAUGUACCCAUAAGGAGAUGCUGUGAAAACAUGGCAUAGUACAGAGACCUCAAAAUGAAC